rnacentral:rRNA from 1 species
AGAGUUUGAUCCUGGCUCAGGACGAACGCUGGCGGCGUGCUUAACACAUGCAAGUCGAACGGAAAGGCCCCUUCGGGGGUACUCGAGUGGCGAACGGGUGAGUAACACGUGGGCAAUCUGCCCUGCACUUCGGGAUAAGCCUGGGAAACUGGGUCUAAUACCGAAUAGGACCACUUGGCGCAUGCCUUGUGGUGGAAAGCUUUUGCGGUGUGGGAUGGGCCCGCGGCCUAUCAGCUUGUUGGUGGGGUGAUGGCCUACCAAGGCGACGACGGGUAGCCGGCCUGAGAGGGUGUCCGGCCACACUGGGACUGAGAUACGGCCCAGACUCCUACGGGAGGCAGCAGUGGGGAAUAUUGCACAAUGGGCGCAAGCCUGAUGCAGCGACGCCGCGUGGGGGAUGACGGCCUUCGGGUUGUAAACCUCUUUCACCAUCGACGAAGGUCCGGGUUUUCUCGGAUUGACGGUAGGUGGAGAAGAAGCACCGGCCAACUACGUGCCAGCAGCCGCGGUAAUAC